CGCCUAUCGCGCGAGCACGUCGCAGAAGCAUGUCCAUAUACCCCACAGCGAAUGCACUGGAGUGGUCGCGGUAGGCACGCCCGCACCAGCCUCCGUUGUUUGAAGAGAAAGAGUUCUCCCGGUACGGUGGUGCCCUCAAAGGUGGCACGAAGCGUGUUGCCACGGCGCACACAGGAAAUGACCCUGACUGAGCAGGGACGUUGACCGGAAGGAUAAGUGACUGCGAGCAAUUCAAAUGAAGGAUUUCACUCCAAGCGUCCAUUUGAAGGACCCCACCAAGAUGCACUACGUGCCUACAGUGACGUUCAUUGGAAGUUUAUUGACGUCACGGGAAUUCAUUGUUCGUCUGGAGGGAAUCGACUUUAAGGAGGAGAGCCUUAUGGCAGCCAUUGGCACGCAGAUGGCCCUAUAUUGGACUAUGAAUAUUGUUUUCAAAAAGAGAGCCCAACGUACGUUUGAUGUCGACUGUUGAAAGUGAAGAGCGGCUGGCGGCCAACGCCGCUCGUUCAAGUGGCUCUAACUACUUUGAGCCAGUGAACAACAGGCAGGCUGCAUGCAUGCAAUAAAGGAUUUUUUUUGCACUAGA